UACGUAGGGUGCAAGCGUUAUCCGGAAUUAUUGGGCGUAAAGCGCUCGUAGGCGGUUUGUCGCGUCUGCUGUGAAAACCCGAGGCUCAACCUCGGGCCUGCAGUGGGUACGGGCAGACUAGAGUGCGGUAGGGGAGAGUGGAAUUCCUGGUGUAGCGGUGGAAUGCGCAGAUAUCAGGAGGAACACCGGUGGCGAAGGCGGUUCUCUGGGCCGGUACUGACGCUGAGGAACGAAAGCGUGGGGAGCGAACAGG
rnacentral:rRNA from 1 species